UACGUAGGGGGCAAGCGUUGUCCGGAAUCAUUGGGCGUAAAGAGCUCGUAGGCGGUUUGUCGCGUCGAAUGUGAAAACCCGGGGCUCAACCCCGGGCCUGCAUUCGAUACGGGCAGACUAGAGUUCGGUAGGGGAGUCUGGAAUUCCUGGUGUAGCGGUGAAAUGCGCAGAUAUCAGGAGGAACACCGGUGGCGAAGGCGGUUCUCUGGGCAUUACCUGACGCUGAGGAGCGAAAGUGUGGGGAGCGAACAGG
rnacentral:rRNA from 1 species